CCUACGGGUGGCAGCAGUGAGGAAUAUUGGUCAAUGGGCGGGAGCCUGAACCAGCCAAGUCGCGUGAGGGAAGACGGUCCUACGGAUUGUAAACCUCUUUUGCCGGGGAGCAACGGGGUCCUUGCGAGGGCCCAAUGAGAGUACCCGGAGAAAAAGCAUCGGCUAACUCCGUGCCAGCAGCCGCGGUAAUACGGAGGAUGCGAGCGUUAUCCGGAUUUAUUGGGUUUAAAGGGUGCGUAGGCGGUCCGUUAAGUCAGCGGUAAAAUUGCGGGGCUCAACCCCGUCGAGCCGUUGAAACUGGCAGACUUGAGUUGGCGAGAAGUACGCGGAAUGCGCGGUGUAGCGGUGAAAUGCAUAGAUAUCGCGCAGAACUCCGAUUGCGAAGGCAGCGUACCGGCGCCAGACUGACGCUGAGGCACGAAAGCGUGGGGAUCGAACAGGAUUAGAUACCCGGGUAGUC
rnacentral:rRNA from 1 species